rnacentral:rRNA from 1 species
UACGUAGGGUGCGAGCGUUGUCCGGAAUUAUUGGGCGUAAAGAGCGUGUAGGCGGCCAGAAAAGUCCGCUGUGAAAACUCGAGGCUCAACUUCGAGCUGUCGGUGGAAACUUUCUGGCUAGAGUCCGGAAGAGGAGAAUGGAAUUCCAGGUGUAGCGGUGAAAUGCGUAGAUAUCUGGAGGAACACCGGUGGCGAAGGCGGCAUCCUGGACCGGCAUUGACGCUGAGGCGCGAAAGCCAGGGGAGCAAACGGG